UGGUUCUGGCAUCGAUGAAGAACGCAGCGAAAUGCGAUAAGUAAUGCGAAUUGCAGAAUUUCCGUGAGUCAUCGAAUCUUUGAACGCACAUUGCGCCCUUUGGCAUUCCGAAGGGCAUGCCUGUCCGAGCGUCAUUAUCCUCCCUCAAACCUCGCGUUUGGUGUUGGACCACGUCGGGGGUUCCACCCCCCAGACGGGUCCCAAAGACAAUGACGGCGUCCGUGGGACCCUCUUCGCACUGAGCUUUCCGGAGCACGCGUCGAGUCGCAAGGUCUCAGCGGACCCGGUCACACCUUUUUACUUCCAAGGUUGACCUCGGAUCAGGUAGGGAUACCCGCUGA
rnacentral:misc_RNA from 1 species